rnacentral:rRNA from 1 species
GACGAACGCUGGCGGCGUGCUUAACACAUGCAAGUCGAACGGUGAAGCGCCUUCCUUUUUGGUGGGUGUGGAUGAGUGGCGAACGGGUGAGCAACACGUGAGUAACCUGCCCCCUUCUUCUGGAUAACCGCAUGCCAGUGUUGCUAACACGGGAUAUUCUGAGCCUGUUGCAUGAUGGGUCUGGGACAGUUUUUGUUUCGGUGGGGGAUGGGCUCGCGGCUUAUCAGCUUGUUGGUGGGGUGAUGGCCUACCAAGGCGGUGAGGGGUAGCCGGCCUGAGAGGAUGGGCGGCCAUAGUGGGGAGGCGCGGCGGAGCAUACUACGGGGGGAGGCAGCAGGGGAGAAUACGGCACGAGGGGCGGAAGGAUGAUGCAGCGACGCGGGAGGAGGGAUGGUGGCCGGCGCGUAGAAAUCUGCUUUCGGGGAAGAAGCAGGGUGGACUUGUUUGUGGGUGGGUUGACGGUAGCUGGACAGAAAGCGCCGGCUAACUACGUG